AGAGUUUGAUCAUGGCUCAGAACGAACGCUGGCGGCGUGCUUAACACAUGCAAGUCGAACGUGAUUCAGAGCUUGCUCUGAUGAAAGUGGCGCACGGGUGAGUAACGCGUGGAUAACCUGCCCUGGUAUCUGGGAUAACAUCUCGAAAGGGGUGCUAAUACCGGAUAAGCCUCCGGGAUCUUCGGAUUCUGCAGGAAAAGAAGGCCUCUAUUUAUAAGCUUUCGUAUCAGGAUGGGUCCGCGUACCAUUAGCUAGUUGGUGGGGUAAUGGCCUACCAAGGCGACGAUGGUUAGCUGGUCUGAGAGGAUGAUCAGCCACACUGGAACUGAGACACGGUCCAGACUCCUACGGGAGGCAGCAGUGGGGAAUUUUGCGCAAUGGGGGAAACCCUGACGCAGCAACGCCGCGUGAGUGAUGAAGGCUUUCGGGUCGUAAAGCUCUGUCAGAGGGGAAGAAAUGGAACUGGCUAAUAUCCAGUUUUCUUGACGGUACCCUCAAAGGAAGCACCGGCUAACUCCGUGCCAGCCGCCGCGGUAAUAC
rnacentral:rRNA from 1 species